GCGGCGGACGGGUGAGUAACACGUGGGUAACCUGCCUGUAAGACUGGGAUAACUCCGGGAAACCGGGGCUAAUACCGGAUGCUUGAUUGAACCGCAUGGUUCAAUCAUAAAAGGUGGCUUUCAGCUACCACUUGCAGAUGGACCCGCGGCGCAUUAGCUAGUUGGUGAGGUAACGGCUCACCAAGGCGACGAUGCGUAGCCGACCUGAGAGGGUGAUCGGCCACACUGGGACUGAGACACGGCCCAGACUCCUACGGGAGGCAGCAGUGGUCAUAG
rnacentral:rRNA from 1 species